rnacentral:rRNA from 1 species
UACGUAGGGGGCUAGCGUUGUCCGGAAUCAUUGGGCGUAAAGCGCGCGUAGGCGGCCCGGUAAGUCCGCUGUAAAAGUCAAAGGCUCAACCUUUGAAUGUCAGUGGAUACUGCCGGGCUAGAGUCCGGAAGAGGCGAGUGGAACUCCUGGUGUAGCGGUGGAAUGCGCAGAUAUCAGGAAGAACACCGACGGCGAAGGCAGCUCGCUGGGACGGUACUGACGCUGGAGGCGCG